AAAAAGACAAACCCUGGGUUUCCGUGUCCAACAUUUGACUGUUCGUCUUAUAUGAAAUUUUUUUAUAAUUAGUAUUUUCAUUGUUGUUAGAUGAUAAAACAUGGUUAAUACUUUAUGCGUGACUUGUCUUUUUAAUUUUUUUCGUAAUUUUUUCAAAUAAGACGGAUGAUAAAACUUGGACACGGAAACCCAGUGUUUGUCUUUUU
rnacentral:pre_miRNA from 1 species